CAAAAGUGGUGUAGUCUGACACCUAGUGGACAGGUUGAUGUUCUUGGGGUAGCCGAGCCGGCCCACCACCAGGUUGAUGUUCUUGGGGUAGCCGAGCCAGCCCACCACCAGGUUGAUGUUCUUGGGGUAGCCGAGCCAGCCCACCACCAGGUUGAUGUUCUAGGGGUAGCCGCAACGGCCCACCACCAGGUUGAUGUUCUAGGGGUAGCCGCAACGGCCCACCACCAGGUUGAUGUUCUUGGGGUAGCCGCAACGGCCCACCACCAGGUUGAUGUUCUAGGGGUAGCCGCAACGGCCCACCACCAGGUUGAUGUUCUUGGGGUAGUGAGUAGAGCAGCCAGUGAGUAUACUUCCACGCAAAAUAUUACACACUUACCAGUGACUUACCGAGCGAACUUCAGAAAGGGUGUACCUCAAACCAUACGGACGUUCGCCGAGAAAAUGAAAGAGAACGUGUGUCGCGCCAUGGGUGUGCGUGUGUGUGUAUGUAUGUAUGUGUGUGUAUAUAUAUAUAUAUAUAUAUAUAUAUAGGAGCGGAAUCCAUCCGUGACAGGUGUACACGGGAGUAAAUCUGUAAAUCCUCACCUCAGAUGUAUCCCUCUGCCGCGGAGUGAUACCAAUAUAUUACAGCGAUCCAAUAUAGUGAAACAUAACGUUUAUGUCUAAGAGUUAGAAAGUGUUCCCACUACAACAAACAAAUACUUAAAUACAUGUAAUUUUGUCCUUGCAAUAUUUAAUUGAAAUACUGUAGAAUUAUAUUCAUUCCUAUGGAGGACUGCUCCUACGCAAGGUUUUUCCACCUUUUAAUGGGGCGAUUGGUGGCUAAUCGGGUGCACCACUGGGGAGUGCCAAUAUAACCGACAGGUGGUUUCAAAGGCUCUCAUUGGCCGAUACAUAGCAUGCGCAAUCCAGGGUUUACAUACGUCAUUGGAAUAAAUGGACCCGUCUCGGAUGCCGUACUAAACCCGGACAGGAUGUGGCUUUGAAUUACGUUACAUGAAUUUGUUAGCUAAGAACAACGACUUGUAAGCAUAAUGACAAAAACAUGUUGCCCCAAGAAAAAAUAGCUUUUGUAUCAAAGUAGAGGAUCGUGGCGGGGAUGUGGCUACGUUAUGGGAAACGUUUUCGGGAGAAAGAGUCGCCCUUCUCGAGUCACAGAACAAGACCGAGCGAUUCUGGUCAGUUGUUGUUCCUAGCCUGUUUCAAUAGUAGGGAUGCUAGCUAGUUUGCUGGCCUGGAUUAACGUUAGCUAGCUGUCUGAUCUACACACUAACUUGGUAACAAUGCCUGCUAGCUAACGUUAGCUAGUUGUCAACACCCAGGCGCGAUCAUGGGACAGUCACAGUUGUUAAAACUGUGACAUGACGUCUCAAAGUGAUCAACAGUAGCCAACUAACUAAAUUAGAUUAGCCAGUUGUGAUCGCAUCAGCAGUGUCUGAGCCUGCAAAUGACAGGGUUUGACAGGUAUUUAUAGUUAACUAGCUAGGGACUGUAGCCAGCUAACUAUUUUCAUGGCAGAAUUAUAUUGUAGGUAGGUAGCUAACUAUCUACAUGGUAAACAAUGUUCCGAAAAUAGUGUAUUGACACGUUGUCUGGUUGUCCCGUUGUGUAUGUUCAACUCUCCAGCAACUGAAACAGCAGAGAGAUAAACUGAAGCACUACCAGAAGAGAGUCACCCUGCAGCUGGAGAAGGAGAGGAGUCUGGCCAAGCAGCUGCUGAAGGAUGGAAAGAAAGAGUGAGACUGGAUAUUUCACUUGUUCAGGCAUCAUCUAGGCUAUAGCCAGGUCCCAGAUCUGUUUGUUCUGUCUUGUUGUAAUGGGGUGUUACCAGGUGAAAUGAAGACCGGUGCAGUUGUUGAAGUCAAUGGAUUAAUACACGUUGCAACAGAGAACACAGAAGCAGAGCAAAAUAACAAGCUGAUUCUGAGCAGGCCCUUAUAUCCAUUUCUAAUCACAUAUGUUCUCUAAACACAUGACAAAAGACAUAAUACAAGGCAGUGACUCAUAGUCUACAGAUAAAACAAUAAUAACCAGUGUCCUCAGAACUGGCACCUUUAGACUGGCUCCCACACUAUCAGCACGUAGAACUGGCACCUUUAGACUGGCUCCCACACUAUCAGCACGUAGAACUGGCACCUUUAGACUGGCUCCCACACUAUCAGCACGUAGAACUGGCACCUUUAGACUGGCUCCCACACUAUCAGCACGUAGAACUGGCACCUUUAGACUGGCUCCCACACUAUCAGCACAUAGAACUGGCACCUUUAGACUGGCUCCCACACUAUCAGCACGUAGAACUGGCACCUUUAGACUGGCUCCCACACUAUCAGCACGUAGAACUGGCACCUUUAGACUGGCUCCCACACUAUCAGCACGUAGAACUGGCACCUUUAGACUGGCUCCCACACUAUCAGCACGUAGAACUGGCACCUUUAGACUGGCUCCCACACUAUCAGCACGUAGAACCUGGCACCUUUUAGACUGGCUCCCACACUAUCAGCACGUAGAAACUGG
rnacentral:lncRNA from 8 species